rnacentral:sRNA from 2 species
AAUUAAUUUUUGCUGAAUUUCCAAAAGGAAAACGGGGGAACCAUUUCCUGGGGUGAAUUAGCCUGUGUAAGAGCAGGCCAUAGGGCAGUUUCUGACCGAACCCGUCAGCUAACCUCGUAAGCGUGUGAAACAAAAUUA